GGGGGUAUAGCUUAGUGGUAGAGCAUUCGACUGCAGAUCGAGAUGUCUCCGGUUCAAAACCCGGGUGUCUUCU